rnacentral:rRNA from 1 species
AUUGAACGCUGGCGGCAGGCCUAACACAUGCAAGUCGAACGAGUGGCGGACGGGUGAGUAAUGUCUGGGAAACUGCCUGAUGGAGGGGGCUAACUACUGGAAACGGUAGCUAAUACUGCAUACCAUCAGAUGUGCCCAGAUGGGAUUAGCUUGUUGGUGGGGUAACGGCUCACCAAGGGGACGAUCCCUACCUGGUCUGAGAGGAUGACCGGCCACACUGGAACUGAGACACGGUCCAGACUCCUACGGGAGGCAGCAGUGGGGAAUAUUGCGCAAUGGGCGCAAGCCUGAUGCAGCCAGGCCGCGUGUAUGAAGAAGGCCUUCGGGUUGUAAAGUACUUUCAGCGGAGAGGCGUUACCCGCAGAAGAAGCACCGGCUAACUCCGUGCCAGCAGCCGCGAUAAUAC